UUUUUCUUUUUCUUUAGCAAUAUCAUUUUAUGAGUAUGGGUAUUCCACAUCUUUGUCAGAUUCAUCCCAAAGUCUUUUACAUUUUUGAGACUAUUAUAAAUGGAAUUCUUAUUUUUAUAUUUCAACUUCUGAUUUUUCAUUGUUUUUAUAUAGGAACAAAAUUGGUUUCUGUAUAUUGGUCUUAUAUCCUGCAACUUUUCUAACUUCACUAGUUCUAGUAACUUUUGGGGGAAUUCCAAGGGAUUUUCUACAAAGACCAGGGGUUUGCAAACUAUGGACCAUGGGCUAAAUGUAGUCUGAUGCUUGUUCUACAAGUAAAGUUUUACUGGAACACAGACAUGCUCAUUUGGUUAUAUAUUGUCUAUGAUUCUUUUGUAUUACAAUGACAAAGGUAAGUAGUUCAACAGAGAUAACAUAGAUAAGCACGUCACAUACAAUAAAGGCAGUCUUGUUUCUAUAACCUUCAGUAAAAUGCUGAAUAGUCACUUCUAUUCAGCAUCCUUGUCCUGUUUUGAUCUUAGAGGAAAAGCAUUGUCUUUCACUAUCAUGUAUGGUGUUGAUAGAGAUUUUUUGUUUUGUUUUGUUUUGUCUAUGCCUUUCUAGGGCCGUUCCUGCGGCAUAUGCAGGAAUGGCCCUAGAAAAGGCAAAAAGACCAAAAAAAAAAAAAAAAGUUUCGUAAAAUUCACUACGUAGUCAUCUGGGAUUGAGGUUUUCUUUGUGAAAAGGUUUUUAACUACAGAUUAAAAGUUUUAGUACAUAUAGGGCAAUUAGGGUAUCUAUUUCUUUGUGAGCAAGAUUUUAUGGUUUGCAUUUUCAAAGAAUUGUCUGUUUCAUCUAACUUAUUGGAUUUACUGGCAUAAAUUUUCAGUUUUUUUUAAUCAUCCUUUUAAUACUGGUUGAAAAUGUAGUGAUGUCACCUCUCUCUUUUCUGAUAUCGAUAAUUUGUGUCAUCUUUUUUUCUGAUAACUCUAGCUAAAAAUACAUCAGUUAUGUUGAUCUUUUCAUUGGUUUCCUCUAUUAUUUUGGUUUUCCAUUUUACUGAGUUCUUUUUUUUAAUUCAAAUUACUUUGGGUUUAAUUUGCUCUUCUUUUUCUAGUUUCUUAAAGUGGAAGCUGAGGUUGGUAACUUAAGAUUUUUCUUCUUUCCUAAUAAAGUCAUUUACUUCUCUAAAUUUCCUUCUAAGUGCUAGUUUUGUGUCAUCCCCUACACUGUGUGUGUCAUCCUAUGCAUUCCCUAUUUUUUAUUUUUUGACCCAUUUGUUAUUUAGAUUAUAAAAUAUUUGAGGAUUUUCCAAUGUUCUAUGGCAAUUAGUCUUAUUACUGAGGCAAAAACUUCUGGGUACUGUACCAAAUGUUAUAUGAAUCUCGAUGUUUUCCACUCUGGGUAGAAGGAAUAGGCACCAUUCUCAGUACUGUGUGAGCACCAUACACUGUUUCUGCUAAUCCUUUUAGAGGGACCAUAUGCUGAUGAGUAUUCAGCUAAACAAUCAAGGGGGAUCCUCUACAGAUCUUUGAAAAAUUCCCUCUCUGUGCAGUACUCUGUCCUAUAACCCCUAGCCACCUUGGUCUCCUUGGUCUCUCAGCUCCAUCUCCUUAACCCACAGAGUCCAUCAGGCUCUGUCCACUUCCCUGUACUGAAAACUCUCCCAUGGCAGUAAGCUGCAGCAGCCGUAUGUCUCACUCGUUUUUUCUUCUUGCCUCUCAAGUAUC
ensembl:lncRNA